rnacentral:rRNA from 1 species
GCCUACCAUGCAAGUCGAACGGUUAAAGCACCUCCGGGUGUGCAUAAAGUGGCGAACGGCUGAGUAACACGUGGGCAACCUGCCCCUCGCACCGGGACAGCCUCGGGAAACCGUGGAUAAUACCGGAUACUCCGGACCCCCCGCAUGGGGGGACCGGGAAAGCCCAGACGGCGAGGGAUGGGCCCGCGGCCUGUUAGCUAGUUGGUGGGGCAACGGCCCACCAAGGCGAUUAUGGGUAGCUGGGUUGAGAGACCGACCAGCCAGAUUGGGACUGAGACACGGCCCAGACUCCUACGGGAGGCAGCAGUGGGGAAUCUUGCGCAAUGGGCGAAAGCCUGACGCAGCGACGCCGCGUGCGGGACGAAGGCCUUCGGGUCGUAAACCGCUUUCAGCAGGGACGAGGGGGAGACCUGACGGUACCUGCAGAAGAAGCCCCGGCUAACUACGUGCCAGCGGCCGCGGUAAUACGUAGGGGGCGAGCGUUAUCCGGAUUCAUUGGGCGUAAAGCGCUCGUAGGCGGUCCGUUAGGUCGGGAGUCAAAUCCGGGGGCUCAACCCCCGCCCGCUCCCGAUACCGGCGGACUUG